rnacentral:rRNA from 1 species
GCCAGACUCCUACGGGAGGCAGCAGUGGGGAAUAUUGCACAAUGGGGGAAACCCUGAUGCAGCAACGCCGCGUGGGUGAAGGAGCGUUUCGGCGCGUAAAGCCCUGUCAGCGGGGAAGAAGAAAGACGGUACCCGACCAAGAAGCCCCGGCUAACUACGUGCCAGCAGCCGCGGUAAUACGUAGGGGGCGAGCGUUAUCCGGAAUUACUGGGUGUAAAGGGAGCGCAGACGGCAGUGCAAGUCUGGAGUGAAAGCCCGGGGCCCAACCCCGGAACUGCUCUGGAAACUGUGCGGCUAGAGUACUGGAGGGGCAGGCGGAAUUCCUAGUGUAGCGGUGAAAUGCGUAGAUAUUAGGAGGAACACCAGUGGCGAAGGCGGCUUACUGGACAGUAACUGACGUUGAGGCUCGAAAGCGUGGGGAGCAAACAGGAUUAGAUACCCUGGUACC